AGUGAACGCUGGCGGUAGGCCUAACACAUGCAAGUCGAACGGCAGCACAGUAAGAGCUUGCUCUUACGGGUGGCGAGUGGCGGACGGGUGAGGAAUACAUCGGAAUCUACUUUUUCGUGGGGGAUAACGUAGGGAAACUUACGCUAAUACCGCAUACGACCUACGGGUGAAAGCAUGGGAUCUUCGGACCUUGCGCGAUUGAAUGAGCCGAUGUCGGAUUAGCUAGUUGGCGGGGUAAAGGCCCACCAAGGCGACGAUCCGUAGCUGGUCUGAGAGGAUGAUCAGCCACACUGGAACUGAGACACGGUCCAGACUCCUACGGGAGGCAGCAGUGGGGAAUAUUGGACAAUGGGCGCAAGCCUGAUCCAGCUAUACCGCGUGGGUGAAGAAGGCCUUCGGGUUGUAAAGCCCUUUUGUUGGGAAAGAAAAGCAGCAGGUUAAUACGCCGCUGUUCUGACGGUACCCAAAGAAUAAGCACCGGCUAACUUCGUG
rnacentral:rRNA from 1 species